rnacentral:rRNA from 1 species
GAUAGUAUUAUAGUAAGGCAUCUUGUUGUAAUUAAAGCUAUGGCGGAUAAGGAUGAGCGUGCGCAAGAUUAGCUAGUUGGUGAGGUAACGGCUCACCAAGGCGACGAUCUUUAGCUGAUGUGAGAGCAUGAUCAGCCACACGGGCACUGAGACACGGGCCCGACUCCUACGGGAGGCAGCAGUGAGGAAUAUUGGUCAAUGGACGGAAGUCUGAACCAGCCAUGCCGCGUGAAGGAUGAAGGCGUUCUGCGUUGUAAACUUCUUUUAUUUAGGAAGAAACCACCGAUUUCUAUUGGUGUUGACGGUAUUAAAUGAAUAAGCACCGGCUAACCCCGUG